rnacentral:rRNA from 1 species
UACGGAGGGUGCAAGCGUUAUCCGGAUUCACUGGGUUUAAAGGGUGCGUAGGCGGCUUUAUAAGUCAUUGGUGAAAGCUCGCAGCUUAACUGUAAAACUGCCAAUGAAACUGUUUAGCUUGAAUGUGGUUGAAGUGGGCGGAAUACAACAUGUAGCGGUGAAAUGCUUAGAUAUGUUGUAGAACACCGAUUGCGAAGGCAGCUCACUAAGCCAAUUAUUGACGCUGAGGCACGAAAGCGGGGUAGCGAACAGG